rnacentral:tRNA from 1 species
CAGGUUAGAGCUUGUCAUUAGUAUUUUAUUUACAUUAAAAUGGAAAUUGUUGAAAUCAAUUUAACUUGA